GCAUCAUACUUUGACCUUUCAUAAAAGUCAAGGAGCCUAUUUACGUAACCCCGAGGCGUGACUAAUGCAUUAGAACAAUUUGUUAAAGGAACAGGGUUUGGGAAAAAUUCAAUUCUUAUAGUACCCGCCUUGUCGCCUCUCUUGCCCUUAUCCCAUGUUUUAAGCGGGCAAGAAAAAGAGGCCACAGGCUCCCACCUUAGAUAUGUACUAACUGACACACACGAAAGUGAUCCUAGUUUUAACAUUUUAACCUAAAAUCCCAAUUUCCAUGUCACGUGCGACAUGUACGCAUGACAAAUUUUGACCGUCGCUAAUUACGAAGACGUGACGUCACGCUUCGUUCACCAAUUAAAUUACUGUUAGAUUUUCUUAGUUUUCCUAAUAUUUAGCCAGUUUCGCUGUCAACACAGUAAUGACACGUACAUUUUUUUUCAGAUGGCAGCCAUUCGCCUUAAAAGACGAGCUGUCAGUUAUGUUAGCCAACGCGAAUCUAACAAACAAGUCGCGGAUGUGGGUCAGCAGUAACGAAGCCGAGAUUUAAAAAAAACUGAAGAUGAUGAUAGUAAUCUUGUACAAUGAAUGAUCGAAAAUGAUGCGUUAGAAGAGCGUAGUUAUUGAAUAAAAUUCGCCACGGUCGUGUGGACUUUUUAAACAUGCAAGCAAAUAAAUGACAGCGAUAGCUCUCCUUCUUUGCACAUUUCUUCUACACUGUUACAAUGGCCUUGUCAUUUAUUUAUUUAUUUAUUUAUUAUUUAUUAUUAAGUGCGGAAAGAGCCCAAUAG